AGGAUCAUUAUUGAAAUAAACCUGAUAAGUUGUUGCUGGUUCUCUUGGGAGCAUGUGCACACUUGUCAUCUUUCUAUCUUCACCUGUGCACCUUUUGUAGAUCUGAUUAUCUCUCUGAAUUCCUUUAUUCAGGAUUGAGGAUUGACUUUUUGUCUCUCCUUACAUUUUCAGGUCUAUGUUUUAUUCAUAUACCCUAAUGUAUGUUUAUAGAAUGUAAUAAAAAUGGGCCUUUGUGUCUAUAAAUUCUAUUACAACUUUCAGCAACGGAUCUCUUGGCUCUCGCAUCGAUGAAGAACGCAGCGAAAUGCGAUAAGUAAUGUGAAUUGCAGAAUUCAGUGAAUCAUCGAAUCUUUGAACGCACCUUGCGCUCCUUGGUAUUCCGAGGAGCAUGCCUGUUUGAGUGUCAUUAAUAUCAUCAACCUCUUUGGUUGGAUGUGGGUUUGCUGGCCUCUUGAGGUCAGCUCCCCUUAAAUGCAUUAGCUGACAAUAUUUUGCCAACUGUUCAUUAGUGUGAUAAUUAUCUACGCUAUUGAAUGUCAGGGAAUGUUCAGCUUCUAACAGUCCAUUGACUUGGACAAUUUUAUUAUUUAUUAAUGUGACCUCAAAUCAGGUAGGACUACCCGCUGAACUUAAGCAUAUCAAUAA
rnacentral:rRNA from 1 species